rnacentral:rRNA from 1 species
UGCCCAUAUAACACUUGGAAACAGGUGCUAAUACCGUAUAACACUAUUUUCCGCAUGGAAGAAAGUUGAAAGGCGCUUUUGCGUCACUGAUGGAUGGACCCGCGGUGCAUUAGCUAGUUGGUGAGGUAACGGCUCACCAAGGCCAUGAUGCAUAGCCGACCUGAGAGGGUGAUCGGCCACACUGGGACUGAGACACGGCCCAGACUCCUACGGGAGGCAGCAGUAGGGAAUCUUCGGCAAUGGACGAAAGUCUGACCGAGCAACGCCGCGUGAGUGAAGAAGGUUUUCGGAUCGUAAAACUCUGUUGUUAGAGAAGAACAAGGAUGAGAGUAAAAUGUUCAUCCCUUGACGGUAUCUAACCAGAAAGCCACGGCUAACUACGUGCCAGCAGCCGCGGUAAUACGUAGGUGGCAAGCGUUGUCCGGAUUUAUUGGGCGUAAAGCGAGCGCAGGCGGUUUCUUAAGUCUGAUGUGAAAGCCCCCGGCUCAACCGGGGAGGGUCAUUGGAAACUGGGAGACUUGAGUGCAGAAGAGGAGAGUGGAAUUCCAUGUGUAGCGGUGAAAUGCGUAGAUAUAUGGAGGAACACCAGUGGCGAAGGCGGCUCUCUGGUCUGUAACUGACGCUGAGGCUCGAAAGCGUGGGGAGCGAACAGGAUUAGAUACCCUGGUAGUCCACGCCGUAAACGAUGAGUGCUAAGUG